ACGCUCGACACCUACAGGAGGCAGCAGUGAGGAAUAUUGGUCAAUGGGGGAAACCCUGAUGCAGCAACGCCGCGUGAAGGAAGACGGUUUUCGGAUUGUAAACUUCUGUUCUUAGUGAAGAUAGUGACGGUAGCUAAGGAGCAAGCCACGGCUAACUACGUGCCAGUAGCCGCGGUAAUCUGAGCGGGCUGGCAAGGC
rnacentral:rRNA from 1 species